rnacentral:rRNA from 1 species
UCGUCCGCUCGAGCGGUCGCCAGGGUGCUUGCUCCUGGACGUCCAGCCUCGUCACAUCUGAGCAUGUCCGAUGAAACUAGGCCCGAAGGGGGGAUAACUUCUGUCUUGCGACAUCUAAUACCGAUUAACGUCGUUGACCGAAGUGGGGGACCUUCGGGCCUCUUGCCAUCAGACAUUACCCACAUGUCCGCCGCUACGUGGUGGGGUGCGGCUCCCUGUGUUAACGCUCGACUUGUGUGUGUUAAGGAUGACCGCCCACGUUGGUCUGAGCCGGAUCAAACUCUAUACGGGAGGCAGCAGUGGAGAAUAUUGCACAAUGGGCGCAAGCCUGAUGCAGCCAUGCCGCGUGUAUGAAGAAGGCCUUCGGGUUGUAAAGUACUUUCAGCGAGGAGGAAGGCAUUAAGGUUAAUAACCUUGGUGAUUGACGUUACUCGCAGAAGAAGCACCGGCUAACUCCGUGCCAGCAGCCGCGGUAAUACGGAGGGUGCAAGCGUUAAUCGGAAUUACUGGGCGUAAAGCGCACGCAGGCGGUCUGUCAAGUCGGAUGUGAAAUCCCCGGGCUCAACCUGGGAACUGCAUUCGAAACUGGCAGGCUAGAGUCUUGUAAAGGGCGUAGAAUCCCAGAUGUACUCGGUGAAAUGCGUAAAGAUCUGGAGAAUACCGGUGGCGAAGGCGGCCCCCUGGACAAAGACUGA